AUCCGGCUGACGAGUCACAAAUAAGACGAAACGCGCAUCCUGGAU
rnacentral:hammerhead_ribozyme from 1 species